rnacentral:rRNA from 1 species
GAGUUUGAUCAUGGCUCAGAUUGAACGCUGGCGGCAUGCCUUACACAUGCAAGUCGAACGGCAGCACGGGAGCUUGCUCCCGGUGGCGAGUGGCGAACGGGUGAGUAAUGCAUCGGAACGUAUCCUGGAGUGGGGGAUAACGUAGCGAAAGUUACGCUAAUACCGCAUAUUCUGUGAGCAGGAAAGCGGGGGACCUUCGGGCCUCGCGCUCUUGGAGCGGCCGAUGUCGGAUUAGCUAGUUGGUGAGGUAAAGGCUCACCAAGGCGACGAUCCGUAGCAGGUCUGAGAGGAUGAUCUGCCACACUGGAACUGAGACACGGUCCAGACUCCUACGGGAGGCAGCAGUGGGGAAUUUUGGACAAUGGGGGCAACCCUGAUCCAGCCAUGCCGCGUGAGUGAAGAAGGCCUCGGUUGUAAG